GGCCUGGUGGUCUAGUCGCAUGAUUCCUCCUUUGGGCACAGAGUGUUUGAUUGGAGGAGGUCCUGGAUUCAAUUCCCGGUCAGGCCC